rnacentral:rRNA from 1 species
UACGUAGGGGGCAAGCGUCGUCCGGAUUUAUUGGGCGUAAAGAGCGUGUAGGCGGCCAGGUAGGUCUGCUGUGAAAACUCGAGGCUUAACCUCGAGCUGUCGGCGGAAACCAUCUGGCUAGAGUCCGGAAGAGGAGAAUGGAAUUCCCGGUGUAGCGGUGAAAUGCGCAGAUAUCGGGAAGAACACCCGUGGCGAAGGCGGUUCUCUGGGACGGUACUGACGCUGAGACGCGAAAGCGUGGGGAGCGAACAGG